rnacentral:pre_miRNA from 1 species
GCUUGGAAGUCCUUACUGUUCUCUCAAAUGAUAGCAUUCACUGUUCAUGUUAAAUCAGUAAGUGCUAUCUUUUGGGGCAGCUGUAUGUGA